rnacentral:rRNA from 1 species
GAUGAACGCUGACAGAAUGCUUAACACAUGCAAGUCGAUUCGAUUUACCUUCGGGUAUUGAGGAUGGCGGACGGGUGAGUAACGCGUAAGGAACUUGCCUCUUGGUCUGGGACAACUGUUGGAAACGACAGCUAAUACCGGAUAUUAUGAGAUUCUCGCAUGGGAAACUUAUGAAAGCUAUAUGCGCCAAGAGAGAGCCUUGCGUUCCAUUAGCUAGUUGGUGGGGUAACGGCCCACCAAGGCGACGAUGGAUAGCCGGCCUGAGAGGGUGAACGGCCACAAGGGGACUGAGACACGGCCCUUACUCCUACGGGAGGCAGCAGUGGGGAAUAUUGGACAAUGGGCCACAAGCCUGAUCCAGCAAUUCUGUGUGCACGAUGAAGGUCUUCGGAUUGUAAAGUGCUUUCAGUUGGGAAGAAGAAAGUGACGGUACCAACAGAAGAAGCGACGGCUAAAUACGUGCCAGCAGCCGCGGUAAUACGUAUGUCGCAAGCGUUAUCCGGAUUUAUUGGGCGUAAAGCGCGUCUAGGCGGAAAAAUAAGUCUGAUGUUAAAAUGCGGGGCUCAACUCCGUAUUGCGUUGGAAACUGNUUUUCUAGAGUACUGGAGAGGUGGGCGGAACUACAGGUGUAGAGGUGAAAUUCGUANAUAUUUGUA